rnacentral:rRNA from 1 species
ACGAACGCUGGCGGCGUGCUUAACACAUGCAAGUCGAACGGAAAGGCCCUGCUUUUUUGGGGUGCUCGAGUGGCGAACGGGUGAGUAACACGUGAGUAACCUGCCCUUGACUUUGGGAUAACUUCAGGAAACUGGGGCUAAUACCGGAUAGGAGCUCCUGCUGCAUGGUGGGGGUUGGAAAGUUUCGGCGGUUGGGGAUGGACUCGCGGCUUAUCAGCUUGUUGGUGGGGUAGUGGCUUACCAAGGCUUUGACGGGUAGCCGGCCUGAGAGGGUGACCGGCCACAUUGGGACUGAGAUACGGCCCAGACUCCUACGGGAGGCAGCAGUGGGGAAUAUUGCACAAUGGGCGGAAGCCUGAUGCAGCAACGCCGCGUGCGGGAUGACGGCCUUCGGGUUGUAAACCGCUUUCGCCUGUGACGAAGCGUGAGAGACGGUAAUGGGUAAAGAAGCACCGGCUAACUACGUG